UUACCAUUGUGGAAUUUAUGAAAACAACCUAUAAAGACAAUAAUAUCAUGCAAAUAAUAACUUCAUGCACAAUCAGUAACAUACAACAUAUCAUAAAUUCAUAUUCAUUGACAAUAACUAAUCAUCACUGUUUCUCGUUUCACCAGCCUACUAGUAUCCAUGGGGAUCCAUAGGGGUGUACCUGCUACACGUGAACCCUUUUCCUUAACAAUCUUAAUUUCAGGGCCGUCCCCAAACACCGUCCGGUAUGAGUGUCAAGAUAUUAAACCUCAAUACCUCAUCCGGUAUGAACGCCAAAUAACUAAGUCUCUAUACCCCGUCUGGUAUAAGACAACGUUCACGGUAGGGUUCCCUAUGAACCCAGUCCGUCCACC
rnacentral:lncRNA from 1 species